rnacentral:rRNA from 1 species
AUAUUUAUAUAGUACAUAAAUACUUAAACUAAAAGUUCUUUAUGCUAUUGAAUUAAUAAUAAAAAGGUAGAAGAUAGAUUUUAUAAUUUUAGUUAUAAAAAUAGACUUUUAAAAAAUUUCUGGCUAAACCUGUGCCAGCCGCCGCGGUUAUACAGGUAGGAAAGUAUUUUAAUUAAAAUAAAAAUUUUGUUAAUGUUAAAAAUUUUUAAUUAGGUGAAAUUAUUAAUUUAUUUAGAUUUGUAGUAUUUUUGAAAUUUAUAUGCAAAAAUAGGAUUAGAUACCCUAUUAUUAUAAAAUGUUAUUUUAGUAUUAAUUUAAGAUUUAUUAAAUUUAAAGAUUUUGGCGGUAUUCUAAGCUUUUUAGAGGAAUUUAUUUUUUAAUUGAUAUGGCACAAAAAUCUUUCUUAAUUUUGUUAGGUCAGUUUGUAUAUCGCUAUCAUUUUAUAAUGUUGUUUAACAAUUGUAAAAAAAAAUUUUUUUUAGGAUGUUAGGUCAAAAUGCAACAAAAAAUUAAGUUUUAAAUAAAUUACGUUAAUUUAUAUUAGAAAAUUUAUGAAAAAGGUUAUUAGGAUUUAACAGUAAAUUUUAAUUAUAAUGUUUGAUUGAAAUAAGCUCUGGAAUAUGCACAUAUCGCCCGUCGCUUUCAUUUAUGAGAUAAGUCGUAACAAAGUAAAAGUAUCGGAAGAUGUUUU